UCCAAGCUUCUAGAUCGUAACAAGGUUCCGUAGGUGAACCUGCGGAAGGAUCAUUACCACACCGAUCCUAAACGGGAUCCGUCCCAUCGUGAAACUUGUUUCCGGGCCUUGGCCCGUUGACAGCUUUUACACCCAUCCAACCAAACCUCAAAACCAAACAUUUUGACCCUACCAACCCAUUCGACUGAACCGUAACGGUUGCUUCUCUGGAAGCAAUCGGCGAUUUAAACAAAUCAUACGACUUUCAGCAGCGGAUGUCUUGGUUCCCACAACGAUGAAGAACGCAGCGAAAUGCGAUACGUAAUGCGAAUUGCAGAGUCCAGCGAGUCAUCAAAUGUUCGAACGCACCUGGCACUUCCGGGAUAUUCCUGGGAGUAUGCUUGUUAGAGUGUCUGUUGGACCAUCUCCCUUGUUCCUUCGGGAAGAAGUGGNGGUAGUUGCCGUACAUUUUGCUCUUUGAGCGAGAUGAUCGGUUAAGCACUCGAGAUAACAACCGUUGAGUUCAACGGGCGUGGUAGCGCUGGGCCUCAUGGCUAAGCACAAAUCCUCCCCGGUAGAAGUCUCGGUUGAUCUAACAGAGGAACUGGAAGAAGCUUCGGCUGAAUCCACUUUUCAGAUCUCUAAUCAAGCAAGAAGACCCCGCUGAACUUAAGCAUAUGUCGACUGCAGGA
rnacentral:rRNA from 1 species